CUCUUUCCGUAUGAGGGACAAGUUGUUGUCUGCCAACAGAAAAGAAGAAGGAUACAAGACUACAGCCUGUGACCCGGAACAGAAUAUAGUAGUACAAAUGGUCAACACACCUGUAACAUUUACAGACAACAUAAUUGGAACACCGUCGACUGAAGCCUUCUGCUGCCAUUGACCGUGAAGUCCGAGCUGGUAUUGCUCCACCCGACAAUGAGAGACGCAGCCUCCUCUGCAGGCCGUGAAGCCCCUCGUUGCUAGGGUACCGCAGUAUGCCACUGCGAUCAAGCUCCAGUAGCUGGUUGUUCACGGUCGGAGAACCAUGCCCGGUGUAGAACCAAAGAGCCAUGUCUCCGUGGUAUCCAAACGCAGAUCAUUGGCUGGAAGAAGAAGAAAUCUUAGAUGAUUCAGAAGAAAAUAGUGUGGUUGUAUUCAAGAUCUCACCAGGUUUAAUGAGUGUCAGCUGUGUGCUUCCAUAGACCGAGGUGAGGCGGUGCCAUUUGCCACGAGAAUUUUGCAGCCACUCCACGACCUCGCAGACGUAAGAACCUUGGUCUGAGGUCUCAGUAUCUCGAACGGUCAACUCAAAACUAGGACCCUCAGUACGUCGGACGCUGAUCCGCUGGCCGUGGACCACAUUCACCGUGGGCCCAAACUUUACUGAGGAGUCUCGAUCUGAGCUGGCAAUGAUGACAUUUUGGGCCGGUUUCUGGAGAAUCCAGACUGUACUCAGGUGUCACAGACAGGACCCCCGUGGGACCGAUUCGAGCCAUCUCCACACCUGCGCGGUGCCAAGCUACAGAGAAAAACUUUUCCUCCAGGUUCUGCGUGUCAACACUGCAGGUUAGGAGGAGCUCCUGCCCCUCCUGCAGAGAUAACUGCUGUGCAGAUAAUCUCACCACCACAGAGGGCUUGUCUGGGACCAACUCUGCUCAGCCACAGACACACAAAAAGACAAAGAACAAAGCACAAAUGCUGUCAAAAAGGUUCCAUGACCAAGAAGUGCCAAAAUGGUAGAUGGCAUAUCAUGACUCUACUCACUAUGGACAUGGGUACUACUACUUACUGUGCAAGUGGAACUUAAUGGUAUGCCUCAGGGUUCAGUCGUAGAACCAUUCCUACUUAUCAAUAUGUCAACGUUUGAAAUGCCAAAUCAACAUUUUUUUGAUUGUUAAGAAUCUUAAGUUGAAUUGAUUGUUGAUUACCGUAUUUUUCGGAGUAUAAGUUGCACCGGAGUAUAAGUCGCACCGGCCGAAAAUGCAUAAUAAAGAAGGGAAAAAACAUAUAUAAGUCGCACUAGAGUAUAAGACGCAUUUUUGGGGGAAAUGUAUUUGAUAAAAGCCAACACCAAGAAUAGACAUUUGAAAGGCAAUUUAAAAUAAAUAAAGAAUAGUGAACUACAGGCUAAAUAAGUGUACAUUAUAUGAGGCAUAAAUAACCA